UCAAUGCACUUACGUGCGAAGGGGCUACCUCGAGUGCCACCUGAUGAAGGUGGCUUUUCCUAGGUCUAAAAAGCCUUGGGAAUAAGAGGGGGGCAAGACUGGUGUCAGCCGCCGCGGUAACACCAGCCCCUCGAGUGGUGGGGAUGAUUAUUUGGCCUAAAGCGUCCGUAGCCUGCCGGAUAAGUUUCCCGUUAAAUCCAACGUCUCAAGCGUUGGACUGCGGGAAAUACUGUCUGGCUAGAGAGUGGGAGAGGUCAGCGGUAUUCUGGGGGUAGGGGCGAAAUCCUUUGAUCCCCGGAGGACCACCAGUGGCGAAGGCGGUCGACUAGGACGUGCCCGACGGUGAGGGACGAAAGCUGGGGUAGCGAACCGGAUUAGAUACCCGGGUAGUCCCAGCUGUAAACGAUGCGGGCUAGCUGUUGGGACAGCCACGAGCUGCCCCAGUGGCGCAGAGAAGUUGUUAAGCCCGCCGCCUGGGGAGUACGAUCGCAAGAUUGAAACUUAA
rnacentral:rRNA from 1 species